CCUACGGGUGGCAGCAGUGGGGAAUAUUCCACAAUGGGCGAAAGCCUGAUCCAGCGACGCCGCGUGAGUGAAGAAGUUUUUCGGAAUGUAAAGCUCUAUUAGCAGGGAAGAAAAUGACGGUACGUGACUAAGAAGCCCCUGCCAACUACGUGCCAGCAGCCGCGGUCAUACGUAGGGGGCACGCGUUAUCCGGAUUUACUGGGUGGAAAGGGAGCGGUGACGGCUGCACAAGUCUGGAGUGAAAUGCCGGGGCUUAACCCCGGAAGUGCAUUGGAAACUGGGCAGCUAGAGUGCAGGAGAGGUAAGUGGAAUUCCUGGUGUAGCGGUGAAAUGCGUAGAUAUUAGGAGGAACACCAGUGGCGAAGGCGGCUUACUGGACUGUAACUGACGCUGAGGCUCGAAAGCGUGGGGAGCAAACAGGAUUAGAUACCCGGGUAGUC
rnacentral:rRNA from 1 species